rnacentral:rRNA from 1 species
GCCAGCCCGCUCAGAACUUCAAGGAAUUGACGGGGCCCGCACAAGCAGCGGAGCAUGUGGUUUAAUUCGAAGCAACGCGAAGAACCUUACCUAGACUUGACAUCUCCUGAAUUACCCGUAACUGGGGAAGCUCUUCGGAGCAGGAAGACAGGUGGUGCAUGGUUGUCGUCAGCUCGUGUCGUGAGAUGUUGGGUUAAGUCCCGCAACGAGCGCAACCCUUUAUCGUUAGUUGCUACCAUUAAGUUGAGCACUCUAGCGAGACUGCCCGGGUUAACCGGGAGGAAGGUGGGGAUGACGUCAAAUCAUCAUGCCCCUUAUGUCUAGGGCUACACACGUGCUACAAUGGUGAGGACAAAGAGACGCAAGACCGCGAGGUGGAGCAAAUCUCACAAACCUCAUCCCAGUUCGGAUUGCAGGCUGAAACUCGCCUGCAUGAAGCCGGAGUUGCUAGUAAUCGCGAAUCAGCAUGUCGCGGUGAAUACGUUCCCGGGCCUU